UACGGAGGGGGCUAGCGUUGUUCGGAAUUACUGGGCGUAAAGCGCACGUAGGCGGCUUCGCAAGUCAGGUGUGAAAGCCCGGGGCUCAACCCCGGAACUGCCUUUGAGACUGCGUCGCUUGAAUCCGGGAGAGGCGGGUGGAAUUCCCGGUGUAGAGGUGAAAUGCGUAGAUAUUGGGAGGAAGACCAGUGGCGAAGGCGGCCCGCUGGACCGGUCUUGACGCUGAGGUGCGAAAGCGUGGGGAGCAAACAGG
rnacentral:rRNA from 1 species